UACAUAUAUCGAAAAUCAGCUAUGCUUUAUGAUUCAAAAAAAAUCGUUAAGAAUUUUGUGAAUUUUGUGCUGCAGUUGAGAACAAAUAAUGCCAAAAUCAAAAAAAAAGCCAAACAGCAGCGGCGUAAUCAGCCGCAGAUCCGGCUAGAUGCGGGUUCUCCUGAAGACAACAGGAACGGGGAUAGAACAGUGGAGACCAACAACAAUGGAGGCAAUGGGAUGUUGUUGACUCAGCUGGAGCAGAACGAAAUUGACAAAAUGACGGCUACAUGGACAGAAAUAAUGAACCGGAAGAAUGGUGAAUUAAAUGAAAGUAAAAUGAAAGUGACCCAGCUUGAGCUGGAAAACAUGCAGCUGAAAACAAAUAAUUAGGCCAAAGAAGUCAAGCUGGUUGAGCUGAAGAACAACUAUUAUGCAAAAGUCAAGGAAUGUAUCAUGAUGGAACAAAAACUUGCCCGGAUUGAGGCAAUAGUGCAAUUAUGAAGGGAUUAUAAAGGCAUCGAUAGAAAAUCAUAGACAGUCACAAAUAUCGAUGGAGUGUGCCAUUCAAAAAACCCCCCGACGACUUUAAUCGCGAAGCUGCUAAUAAGGUGUUAAGAGAGAGGCUUUGGACAGUAGAGAACACUCAGCAACAGCAGAUGCAGCCUGUUCAUACAGGGGAAAUUGAUGCUGCGUCCGACGACGGUUCAACGAUUUCAAAUACAGCUGCAACUGCAGUUGCUACAAGAUUGAGAAAUCGUCGAAUUUAAUUUAAUCAAGUAAAAAAAAAUUGCAUUUGCAUUUAUACAAUAGAUUCGCACAUCGUCUGCAAGGGAAUUGCAGAUUCGGUAUACCGAAGACUUUUAGUUUACUGCAUUGUUAUCGCUUUUUGUUUGAUUUGAUCGAAACAAAUGUACAAGCUGUGUGAAUAAAUAAAAGAAACACAACUCGGUCUAUAUUCGAGUGGGGAAAGCGGAA